CCUGUAGGCUUUAGCAUUUUAGGGUUUAGAUUUAUCCCGGGUUUUUAUAUUGUAGCUUAGGGUUUAGAGUUUGAAGUUGUGGGGCUAGCCUGGCUAACCCCACGACUUCAAACCAUAAACCUUUAAGUGUACCGUAUAUAUCCGUCCCCCGCCUGUAGGGUGUAGCAUUCUGGGUUUAAAAUUUCUCCGAGUUUUUAUAAUGUAGCUUAGGGUUUAGGGUUUGAAGUGUAGGGUUAGCCACAACCUAGCUAACCCUACGACUUCAAACCCUAAACUAAAGCGCGGACCGAAGGCCCCCGUAAUCAACUAAAGCGCGGACCGAAGGCCCCCGUAAUCACACUUCUCCUUCAGAUUAGCAUUUAGCCCCCUAGGGUUUAGGGUUUAGGGUUUUAGAAUGUAUCUUUUCUCUCUGAUUAGAAACAAAGCUUUUGUUUACACAUCUGUAAGUUAUAUAUCAAAAUUAAAAGAUUACUUAGAGCUGGUAAGUUGUAUAGUUUAUACAUGUGUAAGUUGUGUACUUACACAUGUGUAAGUUAGAUUUUAAAAGCAAAUCAAUUGGUCUGCACAUGUUAAAGUAAAUAAGACUCGGUGAUUGCAAGAAAAUUAAGUAUGAAUUACUGAAAAGAUAGUUAUAAUUUUGAUAUAAAAUAUUGUCAUAUACAAUGUUGUUUCGCAACAAGUAUUUGCGUACAAGAACUCUUUGAUUACAACAUCAAAGUCUUCAAGGAAAGUACAGAGCAGUAGCAUCAAGAUUCUCCGUCUCCGUAUGUUCAAGGGCAUCCGAUUUAAAUGUUUUAUGCAUUUGGGUUAGAGGUAGCAGAAUUCUCUGCUUUAGAAGAGUGUUGCUACUGCUCACUUUCCUGAAGGUGCAGGUGACCUUAGCCACCAUUAUGUUUAAUUUCACUUCUAGAUGGAGCUUCUUUACCUGUAUAAGAAACUAGAUUACUUAUCCAUUGAGUCAACUCUAAUGAUAAUUGAGUCAACUCUAAUAAUAACUGGGGUUUUAGCCUCGAAGAGUACCCAAUCUAGCAGUAUGCCUUUUUGGUUGGCAGCCCUUCCAAAGUUCUGAUCUUUUUGUCCGAUAAUUAGUUCAAGAAGCAAGAUUCUUAAACCGACAAGUAUUGUCUGAAGAUUUAGUUGACAAAUGGUAACAUGAGAAAUUGAGAAAGAUGGUUGUCUGAUAGCUACGCCAAAAUUAUUAAAGUUGGAAACAAAAUAGGAAAGGCUCCUCACCUUGGUGGAUGACUUGGUCAUCUUGGCAAACAUGACCUCGUGCAGCCACACAUUCAAGAACAGAGAAACACCCAGCUUCCUGCAAUGCUAGUGUCGUAUCCACAACCUACAGAACAUAUAGCAGUUUUACUGUAGUAUAUAUCAAUCAUAUAGAGACACAGUUUGACCAUUAAAAUCCUAUGUGUACCAUUCUGGCUUUAAAAUGUUUGAAAAUAUAGCUGAUCUUUAGCA